rnacentral:rRNA from 1 species
GUGAGGAAUAUUGCACAAUGGAGGAAACUCUGAUGCAGCAACGCCGCGUGGAGGAUGACGCAUUUCGGUGUGUAAACUCCUUUUAAGAGGGAAGAUUAUGACGGUACCUCUUGAAUAAGCACCGGCUAACUCCGUGCCAGCAGCCGCGGUAAUACGGAGGGUGCAAGCGUUACUCGGAAUCACUGGGCGUAAAGGGUGCGUAGGCUGGCUUUUAAGUCAGGUGUGAAAUCCAAUGGCUCAACCAUUGAACUGCACUUGAAACUGAGAGCCUAGAGUUCAGAAGGGGCAGAUGGAAUUAGUGGUGUAGGGGUAAAAUCCGUAGAUAUCACUAGGAAUAUCAAAAGCGAAGGCGAUCUGCUGGGAUGAUACUGACGCUGAGGCACGAAAGCGUGGGGAGCAAACAGGAUUAGAUACCCCAGUAGUCC